GUUGAAGUUCUGCGCGCUGCUCCCCGCGGCGUGGAGCUCAUUGAUCUGAACCAUUGCCUUGCGGAUGGUGGCGCACGCCUCCUUGACCUCGGCGACCAUGGCGGGGUCGUCGAAGAUGCCGCAGGGGACCUGGCAGUGGCCGCCGCGGAGACGGAGCACGAGGUGGAGGGUGGACUCCUUCUGGAUGUUGUAGUCCGCGAGAGUGCGGCCGUCCUCGAGCUGCUUGCCCGCGAAGAUCAGGCGCUGCUGGUCAGGGGGGAU
rnacentral:lncRNA from 1 species